rnacentral:rRNA from 1 species
CGUCGAGCUACUACGGUAGUGAAGUCAUUGAUGCCAUGCUUCCAGGAAAAGCCUCUAAGCUUCAGAUUGUAAGGAAUCGUACCCCAAACCGACACAGGUGGUCGGGUAGAGAAUACCAAGGCGCUUGAGAGAACUCGGGUGAAGGAACUAGGCAAAAUGGUACCGUAACUUCGGGAGAAGGUACGCUCUUGAUGGUGAAGUCCCUUGCGGAUGGAGCUGACGAGAGUCGCAGAUACCAGGUGGCUGCAACUGUUUAUUAAAAACACAGCACUGUGCAAAAUCGUAAGAUGACGUAUACGGUGUGACGCCUGCCCGGUGCCGGAAGGUUAAUUGAUGGGGUUAGCGUAAGCGAAGCUCUUGAUCGAAGCCCCGGUAAACGGCGGCCGUAACUAUAACGGUCCUAAGGUAGCGAAAUUCCUUGUCGGGUAAGUUCCGACCUGCACGAAUGGCGUAAUGAUGGCCACGCUGUCUCCACCCGAGACUCAGUGAAAUUGAAAUCGCUGUGAAGAUGCAGUGUACCCGCGGCUAGACGGAAAGACCCCGUGAACCUUUACUACAGCUUGGCACUGAACAUUGAACCUACAUGUGUAGGAUAGGUGGGAGGCUUUGAAGACGUGACGCCAGUUGCGUUGGAGCCGUCCUUGAAAUACCACCCUUGUAUGUUUGAUGUUCUAACGUUGGCCCCUAAUCGGGGUUGCGGACAGUGCCUGGUGGGUAGUUUGACUGGGGCGGUCUCCUCCCAAAGAGUAACGGAGGAGCACGAAGGUGGGCUAAUCACGGUUGGACAUCGUGAGGUUAGUGCAAUGGCAUAAGCCCGCUUAACUGCGAGAAUGACGGUUCGAGCAGGUGCGAAAGCAGGUCAUAGUGAUCCGGUGGUUCUGAAUGGAAGGGCCAUCGCUCAACGGAUAAAAGGUACUCCGGGGAUAACAGGCUGAUACCGCCCAAGAGUUCAUAUCGACGGCGGUGUUUGGCACCUCGAUGUCGGCUCAUCACAUCCUGGGGCUGAAGUCGGUCCCAAGGGUAUGGCUGUUCGCCAUUUAAAGUGGUACGCGAGCUGGGUUUAGAACGUCGUGAGACAGUUCGGUCCCUAUCUGCCGUGGGCGUUGGAAGAUUGAAGGGGGCUGCUCCUAGUACGAGAGGACCGGAGUGGACGAACCUCUGGUGUUCGGGUUGUGUCGCCAGACGCAUUGCCCGGUAGCUAAGUUCGGAAUCGAUAACCGCUGAAAGCA